rnacentral:rRNA from 1 species
CCUACGGGAGGCAGCAGUGAGGAAUAUUGGUCAAUGGGCGCGAGCCUGACCCAGCCAAGUAGCGUGAAGGAUGACUGCCCUACGGGCUGUAAACUUCUUUUAUAAAGGCAUAAAGUGAGGCACGUGUGCCUUUUUGUAUGUACUUUAUGAAUAAGGAUGGGCUAACUCCGUGCCAGCAGCCGCGGUAAUACGGAGGAUCCGAGCGUUAUCCGGAUUUAUUGGGUGUAAAGGGAGCGUAGAUGGGUUGUUAAGUCAGUUGUGAAAGGUUGCGGCUCAACCGGAAAAUUGCAAUUGAUACUGGCAGUCUUGAGUACAGUAGAGGUAGGCGGAAUUCGUGGUGUAGCGGUGAAAUGCUUAGAUAUCACGAAGAACUCCGAUUGCGAAGGCAGCUUACUAAACUGCCACUGACAUUGAUGCUCGAAAGUGUGGGUAUCGAACAGGAUUAGAUACCCGGGUAGUC